CCUACGGGAGGCAGCAGUGGGGAAUUUUGGACAAUGGGCGCAAGCCUGAUCCAGCAAUGCCGCGUGAGUGAAGAAGGCCUUCGGGUUGUAAAGCUCUUUUGUCAGGGAAGAAACGGCAGUUUCUAAUACAGAUUGCUAAUGACGGUACCUGAAGAAUAAGCACCGGCUAACUACGUGCCAGCAGCCGCGGUAAUACGUAGGGUGCAAGCGUUAAUCGGAAUUACUGGGCGUAAAGCGUGCGCAGGCGGUUUUGUAAGUUUGUCGUGAAAUCCCCGGGCUCAACCUGGGAAUGGCGAUGAAGACUGCAAGGCUAGAAUCUGGCAGAGGGGGGUAGAAUUCCACGUGUAGCAGUGAAAUGCGUAGAGAUGUGGAGGAACACCGAUGGCGAAGGCAGCCCCCUGGGUCAAGAUUGACGCUCAUGCACGAAAGCGUGGGGAGCAAACAGGAUUAGAUACCCUGGUAGUCCACGCCCUAAACGAUGUCUACUAGUUGUCGGGUUUUAAUUAACUUGGUAACGCAGCUAACGCGUGAAGUAGACCGCCUGGGGAGUACGGUCGCAAGAUUAAAACUCAAAUGAAUUGACCGGNUGAGAGNGCGACGACGACGACGAGGAGAGG
rnacentral:rRNA from 1 species